GAUGAACGCUGGCGGCGUGCCUAAUACAUGCAAGUCGAGCGAACAGACGAGGAGCUUGCUCCUCUGACGUUAGCGGCGGACGGGUGAGUAACACGUGGAUAACCUACCUAUAAGACUGGGAUAACUUCGGGAAACCGGAGCUAAUACCGGAUAAUAUAUUGAACCGCAUGGUUCAAUAGUGAAAGACGGUUUUGCUGUCACUUAUAGAUGGAUCCGCGCCGCAUUAGCUAGUUGGUAAGGUAACGGCUUACCAAGGCAACGAUGCGUAGCCGACCUGAGAGGAGGAUCGGCCACACUGGAACUGAGACACGGUCCAGACUCCUACGGGAGGCAGCAGUAGGGAAUCUUCCGCAAUGGGCGAAAGCCUGACGGAGCAACGCCGCGUGAGUGAUGAAGGCCUUCGGAUCGUAAAACUCUGUUAUUAGGGAAGAACAAAUGUGUAAGUAACUAUGCACGUCUUGACGGUACCUAAUCAGAAAGCCACGGCUAACUACGUG
rnacentral:rRNA from 1 species